GACUGCUCCUACUAUGGGACGUCCACUGGCGUCCAGACCUCCGAAUCCCCAGGAGGAACCCUGGCCGUGCGGCAAGUGCAUUCACUUCCCUUAUUCUAACAGGAUGACCACCAGCAUGACAUACUGGAACCACCAAGCCAACCUCAGCCACCACUACCGCCGGGCUAGCACGGUUCAGAUUACUAUGGAAGAACUGUCCAUCCACAAGUGGACAGAGAUGAGGACGGAUGUCUGGACCUCGCCUGAGCCACCUGACCCUGCCUUCUCCACAUGGGACAGCUAGCCUGUGUGACUUACAGGAGGCAUGCUCGGUGCUCCUGACUGACAGCCCAGCGGAGGCGAGUGACAAGCAGGAUGCUCAGGUGGCAGCUGUGCGCUCUCUCCGUCCUGUCAGUCACUGCUCCAUUG